rnacentral:rRNA from 1 species
AUUGAACGCUGGCGGCAGGCCUAACACAUGCAAGUCGAACGGUAACAGGAAGCAGCUUGCUGCUUCGCUGACGAGUGGCGGACGGGUGAGUAAUGUCUGGGAAGCUGCCUGAUGGAGGGGGAUAACUACUGGAAACGGUAGCUAAUACCGCAUAAUGUCGCAAGACCAAAGAGGGGGACCUUCGGGCCUCUUGCCAUCGGAUGUGCCCAGAUGGGAUUAGCUUGUUGGUGGGGUAACGGCUCACCAAGGCGACGAUCCCUAGCUGGUCUGAGAGGAUGACCAGCCACACUGGAACUGAGACACGGUCCAGACUCCUACGGGAGGCAGCAGUGGGGAAUAUUGCACAAUGGGCGCAAGCCUGAUGCAGCCAUGCCGCGUGUAAGAAGAAGGCCUUCGGGUUGUAAAGUACUUUCAGCGGGGAUGAAGGGAGUAAAGUUAAUACCUUUGCUCAUUGACGUUACCCGCAGAAGAAGCACCGGCUAACUCCGUG